GGAGAGAUGUCCGAGCGGCCGAAGGAGCACGACUGGAAAUCGUGUGUGGGGCUCAAAACUCCACCGUGGGUUCAAAUCCCACUCUCUCCGCCA
rnacentral:tRNA from 1 species